rnacentral:tRNA from 1 species
GUGGGUAUAGCUCAGUGGUAGAGUGCAUGCAUCCUGGGUUCAAUCCCCAGUACCUCCA